UACGUAGGUGGCGAGCGUUGUCCGGAAUUACUGGGUGUAAAGCGCGUGUAGGCGGGAGGCCAAGUCUGUGGUGAAAUCGCUCGGCUUAACUGGGCGGGGUCCAUGGAAACUGGUCACCUGGAGGUCGGUAGAGGCAAGUGGAAUUCCCGGUGUAGUGGUGAAAUGCGUAGAUAUUGGGAGGAACACCAGUGGCGAAGGCGGCUCACUGGACCGGAACUGACGCUGAGGCGCGAAAGCGUGGGGAGCAAACGGG
rnacentral:rRNA from 1 species